UACGGGGGGGGUAAGCGUUGUUCGGAAUUACUGGGCGUAAAGGGCUCGUAGGCGGCCAACUAAGUCAGACGUGAAAUCCCUCGGCUUAACCGGGGAACUGCGUCUGAUACUGGAUGGCUUGAAUCCGGGAGAGGGAUGCGGAAUUCCAGGUGUAGCGGUGAAAUGCGUAGAUAUCUGGAGGAACACCGGUGGCGAAGGCGGCAUCCUGGACCGGCAUUGACGCUGAGGCGCGAAAGCUAGGGGAGCAAACGGG
rnacentral:rRNA from 1 species